rnacentral:rRNA from 1 species
UACGGAGGGUGCAAGCGUUAAUCGGAAUUACUGGGCGUAAAGCGUGCGUAGGUGGUUCGUUAAGUCCGUUGUGAAAGCCCCGAGCUCAACUUGGGAAUUGCAGUGGAUACUGGCGAGCUAGAGUGCGGUAGAGGAAGGUGGAACUCCCGGUGUAGCGGUGAAAUGCGUAGAGAUCGGGAGGAACACCAGUGGCGAAGGCGGCCUUCUGGACCAGCACUGACACUCAAGCACGAAAGCGUGGGGAGCAAACAGG